rnacentral:rRNA from 1 species
GAUCCUAGCUCAGGAUGAACGCUGGCUACAGGCUUAACACAUGCAAGUCGAGGGGCAGCAUGAACUUAGCUUGCUAAGUUUGAUGGCGACCGGCGCACGGGUGAGUAACACGUAUCCAACCUGCCGAUGACUCGGGGAUAGCCUUUCGAAAGAAAGAUUAAUACCCGAUGGCAUAGUUCUUCCGCAUGGUAGAACUAUUAAAGAACUUCGGUCAUCGAUGGGGAUGCGUUCCAUUAGG